AGUGAACGCUGGCGGUAGGCCUAACACAUGCAAGUCGAACGGCAGCACCGUACGAGCUUGCUCUUACGGGUGGCGAGUGGCGGACGGGUGAGGAAUACAUCCUAAUCUACUUUUUCGUGUGGGUUAACGUAGGGAAACUUACUCUAAUACCGCAUACGCCCUACGAGUGAAAGCAGGGGAUCUUCGCACCUUGCGCGGAUGAAUGAGCCGAUGUCGGGUUAGCUAGUUGGCGGGGUACUGACCAACCCAGUCGCCGAUCCGUAGCUGGUCAGAGAGGAUGAUCAGCCACACGGGAAGUGGGACGCGGACCAGACGCCUACGGGAGGCAGCAGUGUGGAAUAGGGGACAAUGGGCGCAAGUCUGAUCCAGCGAUACCGAGUGGGUGAAGGAGGCCUUCGGGUUGUAAAGCCCGUUUGCUGGGAAAGAAAAGCAGCAGGUUAAGACCCCGCGGUUCUGACGGUACCCAAAGAAUAAGCACCGGCUAACUUCGUG
rnacentral:rRNA from 1 species